AGCCUGGCCGCACCCCAGUAGUGGCCCCUCUUCCAAGAUAAUGUGGCCGGGAUGCCUAUGUUUGGCGCUGUGCCAUGGUCUGCUGCCUGCGCUGCCACUGCUGCCUGCACGUCAUUUCCACGCCCUUGGGCUCCCGCAUCUGCCUGGGGUGAGCUCACCUGGGGAUGAGGGGGACCAAGCUCCUGGAGGAGCCCUCUGCUGAGGCCAGCUGCUGCCAAGCCAGGC